rnacentral:rRNA from 1 species
GAUGAACGCUGGCGGCGUGCCUAAUACAUGCAAGUCGAGCGAACGGACGAGAAGCUUGCUUUUCUGAUGUUAGCGGCGGACGGGUGAGUAACACGUGGAUAACCUACCUAUAAGACUGGGAUAACUUCGGGAAACCGGAGCUAAUACCGGAUAAUAUUUUUAACCGCAUGGUUCAAAAGUGAAAGACGGUCUUUCUGUCACUUAUAGAUGGAUCCGCGAUGCAUUAGCUAGUUGGUAAGUUAACGGCUUACCAAGGCAACGAUGCAUAGCCGACCUGAGAGGGUGAUCGGCCAAACUGGAACUGAGACACGGUCCAGACUACUACGGGAGGCAGCAGUAGGGAAUCUUCCGAAAUGGGCGAAAGCCUGACGGAGCAACGCCGCGUGAGUGAUGAAGGUCUUCGGAUCGUAAAACUCUGUUAUUAGGGAAGAACAUAUGUGUAAGUAACUGUGCACAUAUUGACGGUACCUAAUCAGAAAGCCACGGCUAACUACGUG